UAUCUUUACCUCCCUACGGCCCUCAUCCAGCUAGCUUUACCUCCCUACGGCCCUCAUCCAGCUAGCUUUACAUCCCUAUGGCCCUCAUCCAGCUAGCUUUACCUCCCUACGGCCCUCAUCCAGCUAGCUUUACCUCCCUACGGCCCUCAUCCAGCUAUCUUUACCUCCCUACGGCCCUCAUCCAGCUAGCUUUACAUCCCUAUGGCCCUCAUCCAGCUAGCUUUACCUCCCUACGGCCCUCAUCCAGCUAGCUUUACCUCCCUACGGCCCUCAUCCAGCUAGCUUUUCCUCCCUAUGGCCCUCAUCCAGCUAGCUUUACAUCCCUAUGGCCCUCAUCCAGCUAGCUUUACCUACUUACGGACCUCGUCCAGCUAGCUUUACCUCCCUACAGACCUCGUCCAGCUAGCUUUACCUCCCUACGGACCUCGUCCAGCUAGCUUUACCUCCCUACGGACCUCGUCCAGCUAGCUUUACCUCCCUAUGGUCUAAUAUAAAUGUGUAGGAUGAGUAUUAUUCUAGUGAGCUCCGCCCCAAAACAAUACCCAGUGUUCUUUGCAGUUAAUUUGUCAUGUUCCAUUUCACAUCUACAUUUUGGUCAUUUAGUAGACAUUCUUAUCCAGAGUGACUUGCUCAACUAAGGUGUUAAACAACAACAUAUCACAGUCAUAGCAAGGAAAAUGUUUUUGUAACUGUUACUGAGAAUGCUGUUGGUGUUUGGGCCAGCUACUUGCAAAUGUAUUUUUGUAUUUUAAAAUACAAAACACGUGUAUUUUAAUGAAAUGCAUUUCAAAAUACAAGUAUUUUGUUGUUUAUUUUGAUACAUUGGCCUUUAUGGUAUUUGUUAUCUGUAUUUAGUCAUUUUUACCCAUCCCUGCUUGUAUUUUGAUACGCCCAAUUAACCUCUUUGUAUCUCUACAUGACUUUUCACCUAAAUAUAUGAGACUCUCCCCUUGUUGUUGAUUGGUGGAGUGUGUGGGUGGGGGGAUCGGUCUAUUUUAGCUGGGAACCUUGACCUAAAAAACAGGGACAAGUCGACUACUGCGAACUUCCUCCCCCCCUUUGUUCAGGACGGACGGAAGUAAUCAGCUGGAUUGGCAUGUGCAUCUGCCAUUUUCAUCAGGAGCACAGUUUUAACUCGUCAAAACCUCCAAUGAAUGUUUGAAAAAACCCUUUCACCUUCUUACACACAUAAGUAGCAGCGACCAAACGACUGGUCAUCUGUUAUUGUGGCUGAAGGGGACAUCCCAAAUGGCAUCCUAUUUCCUACAUAGUGCACUAUUUGACCUUUGGGAAGCAGCCAGUGGCUCCCAGCCCACUUCCUGUUCUUUGUAUUAUAUUUACAAUAGGAAGUUGUUGUUCCAGUCAUUAUUCAUGUCCAACAACCUUUAUACACACAUUGUUUAUACACACAUUGUUUUGAGUAUUACAGACGAGCUGAUGCACAUCGGCAGAAAGACUAUUUGGCAAUGAUCCAAGUCAACUGUCAACUGGAGGUACCAGUUUUGGUACCUCCAGUUGUGGUACCUCCAGUUGUGGUACCUCCAGUUGUGGUACCUCCAGUUGUGGUACCUCCAGUUGUGGUACCUCCAGUUGUGGUACCUCCAGUUUUGGUACCUCCAAAGUUUAUGCACUAUGUUCCACUGGGGGAAUGUUAAUCUCAUGAAAAAAAGGUGUAAACAUAUGUACAUUUUGUUAAAUAGCUAGCUAGUGCACAAUUUGAGAUGGUGGGUGGUGAGAUUAGGGGAUUCUGUGUUGUGAGAAUAGGGGAUUCUGGUUUGUGAGAUUAGGGGAUUCUGGGUUGCGAGAUUAGGGGAUUCUGGGUUGUGAGAUUAGGGGAUUCUGGGUUGUGAGAAUAGGGGAUUCUGGGUUGUGAGAUUAGGGGAUUCUGGGUUGCGAGAUUAGGGGAUUCUGGGUUGUGAGAUUAGGGGAUUCUGGGUUGUGAGAAUAGGGGAUUCUGGGUUGUGAGAUUAGGGGAUUCUGGGUUGCGAGAAUAGGGGAUUCUGGGUUGUGAGAAUAGGGGAUUCUGGUUUGUGAGAUUAGGGGAUUCUGGGUUGUGAGAUUAGGGGAUUCUGGGUUGUGAGAAUAGGGGAUUCUGGGUUGUGAGAAUAGGGGAUUCUGGUUUGUGAGAUUAGGGGAUUCUGGGUUGUGAGAAUAGGGGAUCCUGGGUUGUGAGAUUAGGGGAUCCUGGGUUGUGAGAAUAAGGGAUUCUGGGUUGUGAGAAAAGGGGAUUCUGGGUUGUGAGAAUAGGGGAAUCUGGGUUGUGAGAUUAGGGGAUUCUGGGUUGUGAGAAUAGGGGAUUCUGGGUUGUGAGAUUAGGGGAUUCUGGGUUGUGAGAUUAGGGGAUUCUGGGUUGUGAGAUUAGGGGAACGACAUAAUGAUCAACUGGAGGUACCAGCAGGGUUUGGGUCAGUUCCAUUCAGAAUUUCGGUUUCCUUCCUGAAUUGAAAUGCAAAGUAGUAGGAACUGUAUAAAGUAUGAACUGUGAGAUAUGAAUCUAAAAACGGUAAUAUUUCUCAGUGCUUUGUUUCUUUUCAGACAGUAACGUCAUGGUUUGGUUAUUUGGUUGGUUGGUGGAUUAUUUAAUUGAUUGUUUGUUGUGAUCCUCAGGUCCAUCUUCAUGGAGUUUGAGAAAGAUGUGAAGGUGAAGGGGCUCCCAGCGUAUCGUUUCACCCCUCCUCGUGAUGUCCUGGCAAGCAAGGAGGAGAACCCAGCCAACGAAGGAUUCUGUGUCUCCCCCAAAGAGUGCCUGGGCACCGGCUUGCUCAAAGUCAGCGUAUGCCGAAAAGGUAGGAGCACCUCCACUCCACCCCUACCUGUCUACCUGUCUACCUCCAGGUGUAGUAGGGUCUACCUCCUCCUCUCUCCUUUCCUCUCCUCCAGGUGUAGUAGGGUCGACCUCCAAUCUCCUCUCCUCUCCUCUCCUCCAGGUGUAUUAGGGUCUAUCUCCUCCUCCUCUCUCCUCUCCACCAGGGGUAGUAGGGUCUACCUCCUCUCCUCCUCCAGGUGUUUUAGGGUCUAUCUCCUCCUCCCUCUCCUCUCCUCUCCUCUCCUCCAGGUGUUUUAGGGUCUAUCUCCUCCUCUCCUCUCCUCUCCUCUCCUCCAGGUGUUUUAGGGUCUAUCUCCUCCUCCUCUCUCCUCUCCACCAGGGGUAGUAGGGUCUACCUCCUCUCCUCUCCUCCAGGUGUUUUAGGGUCUAUCUCCUCCUCCUCUCUCCUCUCCACCAGGGGUAGUAGGGUCUAUCUCCUCUCCUCUCCUCCAGGUGUUUUAGGGUCUAUCUCCUCCUCCUCUCUCCUCUCCACCAGGGGUAGUAGGGUCUACCUCCUCUCCUCUCCUCCAGGUGUUUUAGGGUCUAUCUCCUCCUCUCCUCUCCUCUCCUCUCCUCUCCUCUCCUCUCCUCUCCUCUCCUCUCCUCUCCUCUCCUCUCCUCUCCUCCAGGUGUUUUAUGGUCUAUCUCCUCCUCCCUCUCCUCUCCUCUCCUCUCCUCUCCUCUCCUCUCCUCUCCUCUCCUCUCCUCUCCUCUCCUCUCCUCUCCUCUCCUCUCCUCUCCUCUCCUCCAGGUGUUUUAGGGUCUAUCUCCUCCUCCUCUCCUCUCCUCUCCUCUCCUCUCCUCUCCUCUCCUCUCCUCCAGGUGUUUUAGGGUCUAUCUCCUCCUCCUCUCUCCUCUCCACCAGGGGUAGUAGGGUCUACCUCCUCUCCUCUCCUCCAGGUGUAGUAGGGUCUACCUCCUCUCUCCUCUCCUCUCCUCUCCUCUCCUCUCCUCUCCUCUCCUCUCCUCUCCUCUCCUCUCCUCUCCUCUCCUCUCCUCUCCUCUCCUCUCCUCUCCUCUCCUCUCCUCUCCUCUCCUCUCCUCUCCUCCAGGUGUUUUAGGGUCUACCUCCUCUCCUCUCCUCCAGGUGUAUUUGUAUUUAUUAUGGAUCCCCAUUAGCUGCUGUCAAAGCAGCAGCUACUCUUCCUGGGGUCCAGAAAAAUGAAAGCAGUUUAUACAAUUUUUUUUGUUUUUUACAAUAAAUCAAAUCAAAUCAAAUGUAUUUAUAUAGCCCUUCUUACAUCAACUGAUAUCUCAAAGUGCUGUACAGAAACCCAGCCUAAAACCCCAAACAGCAAGCAAUGCAGGUGUAGAAGCACAGUGGCUAGGAAAAUCUCCCUAGAAAGGCCAAAACCUAGGAAGAAACCUAGAGAGGAACCAGGCUAUGAGGGGUGGCCAGUCCUCUUCUGGCUGUGCCGGGUGGAGAUUAUAACAGCACAUGGCCAAGAUGUUCAAAUGUUCAUAAAUGACCAGCAUGGUUAAAUAAUAAUAAUCAUAGUAGUUGUCGAGGGUGCAACAAGUCAUAAACUCAAGAGUAAGUGUCAGUUGGCUUUUUCAUAGCCGAUCUUUGAGAGUAUCUCUACCGCUCCUGCUGUCUCUAGAGAGUUGAAAACAGCAGGUCUGGGACAGGUAGCACAUCCGGUGAACAGGUCAGGGUUCCAGCAGGUCUGGGACAGCAGGUCUGGGACAGGUAGCACGUCCGGUGAACAGGUCAGGGUUCCAUAACCACAGGCAGAACAGUUGAAACUGUAGCAGCAGCACGGCCAGGUAGACUGGGGACAGCAAGGAGUCAUCAUGCCAGGUAGUCCUGAGGCAUGGUCCUAGGGCUCAGGUCCUCCGAGAGAGAGAAAGAAAGAAGGAGAGAAUUAGAGAGAGCAUACUUAAAUUCACACAGGACACCAGAUAAGACAAGAGAAAUACUCCAGAUGUAACAGACUGACCCUAGCCCCCCGACACAUAAACUACUGCAGCAUAAAUACUGGAGGCUGAGACAGGAGGGGUCAGGAGACACUGUGGCCCCAUCCGAUGAAACCCCCGGACAGGGCCAAACAGGCAGGAUAUAAACCCACCCACUUUUCCAAAGCACAGCCCCCACACCACUGGAGGGAUAUCUCCAACCACCAACUUAACAUCCUGAGACAAGGCCGAAUAUAGCCCACAAAGAUCUCUGCCACGGCACAACCCAAAGGGGGUUGUGCCGUUCACACAUUCACAGAUUUCACAACGCACUGUUUGCCCUCAGGCCCCUAGUCCACCACUACCACAUAUCUACAGUACUAAAUCCAUGUGUACAGUGAGGGACAAAAGUAUUUGAUCCCCUGCUGAUUUUGUACGUUUGCCCACUGACAAAAAAAUUAUCAGUCUAUAAUUUUAAUGGUAGGUUUAUUUGAACAGUGAGAGACAGAAUAACAACAAAAAAAUCCCCAAAAACGCAUGUCAAAAAUGUUAUAAAUUGAUUUGUAUUUUAAUGAGGGAAAUAAGUAUUUGACCCCUCUGCAAAACAUGACUUAGUACUUGGUGGCAAAACCCUUGUUGGCAAUCACAGAGGUCAGACGUUUCUUGUAGUUGGCCACCAGGUUUACACACACCUCAGGAGGGAUUUUGUCCCACUACUCUUUGCAGAUCUUCUCCAAGUCAUUAAGGUUUUGAGGCUAACGUUUGGCACCUCGAACCUUCAGCUCCCUCCACAGAUUUUCUGUGGGAUUAAGGUCUGGAGACUGGCUAGGCCACUCCAGGACCUUAAUGUGCUUCUUCUUGAGCCACUCCUUUGUUGCCUUGGCCGUGUGUUUUGGGUCAUUGUCAUGCUGGAAUAUCCAUCCACGACCCAUUUUCAAUGCCCUGGCUGAGGGAAGGAGGUUCUCACCCAAGAUUUGACGGUACAUGGCCCCGUCCAUCGUCCCUUUGAUGCGAUGAAGUUGUCCUGUCCCCUUAGCAGAAAAACACCCCCAAAGCAUAAUGUUUCCACUUCCAUGUUUGACGGUGGGGAUGGUGUGCUUGGGGUCAUAGGCGGUAUUCCUCCUCCUCCAAACACAGCGAGUUGAGUUGAUGCCAAGGAGCUCCAUUUUGGUCUCAUAUGACCACAACACUUUCACCCAGUUGUCCUCUGAAUCAUUCAGAUGUUCAUUGGCAAACUUCAGACGGGCAUGUAUAUGUGCUAUCUUGAGCCGGGGGACCUUGCGGGCGCUGCAGGAUUUCAGUCCUUCACGGCGUAGUGUGUUACCAAUUGUUUUCUUGGUGACUAUGGUCCCAGCUGCCUUGAGAUCAUUGACAAGAUCCUCCCGUGUAGUUCUGGGCUGAUUCCUCACCGUUCUCAUGAUCAUUGCAACUCCACGAGGUGAGAUCUUGCAUGGAGCCACAGGCCGAGGGAGAUUGACAGUUCUUUUGUGUUUCUUCCAUUUGCGAAUAACCGCACCAACUGUUGUCACAUUCUCACCAAGCUGUUUGGCGAUGGUCUUGUAGCCCAUUCCAGCCUUGUGUAGGUCUACAAUCUUGUCCCUGACAUCCUUGGAGAGCUCUUUGGUCUUGGCCAUGGUGGAGAGUUUGGAAUCUGAUUGAUUGAUUGCUUCUGUGACUUUUAUACAGGUGUCUUUUAUACAGGUAACAAGCGGAGAUUAGGAGCACUCCCUUUAAGAGUGUGCUCCUAAUCUCAGCUCGUUACCUGUAUAAAAGACACCUGGGAGCCAGAAAUCUUUCUGAUUGAGAGGGGGUCAAAUACUUAUUUCCCUCAUUAAAAUGUAAAUCAAUUUAUAACAUUUUUGACAUGCGUUUUUGGGGAUUUUUUUGUUGUUAUUCUGUCUCUCACUGUUCAAAUAAACCUACCAUUAGAAUUAUAGACUGAUCAUUUCUUUGUCAGUGGGCAAACGUACAAAAUCAGCAGGGGAUCAAAUACCUUUUUCCCUCACUGUAUGUAUAGUGCGUAUGUUAUCGUGUGUGCAUGUGUUUGCAUGUGUCUGCGCCAAUGUUUGAGUUGCUUCACAGUCCCCACUGUUCCGUAAGUUUUUUUUUCAUCUGUAUUUUAAAUGUAAUUUUACUGCUUGCCUCAGUCACUUGAUGUGGAUUAGAGUUCCAUGUAGUCAUGGCUCUAUGUAGUACUGUGUGCCCCUCACAGUCUGUUCUGGACUUGGGGACUGUGAAGAAACCUCUUGUGGCAUGUCUUGUGGGGUAUGCAUGGGUGUCCGAGCUGUGUGUCAGUAGUUUAGACAGACAGCUCGGUGCAUUCAACAUGUCAAUACCUCUCAUAAAUAAAAGUAGUGAUGAAGUCAAUCUCUCCUCCACUUUGAGCCAGGAGAGAUUGACAUGCAUAUUAUUAAUAUUAGCUCUCUGUGUACAUCCAAGGGCCAGCGUGCUGCCCUGUUCUGAGCCAAUUGCAAUUUUCCUAAGUCCUUUGUUGUGGCACCUGACCACACGACAGAACAGUAGUCCAGGUGCGACAAAACUAGGGCAGAGCAUCGCUUUAUUAUAGACAGACUUCUCCCCAUCUUAGCUACUGUUGUAUCAGUAUGUUUUGACCAUGACCGUUUACAACCCAGGGUUACUCAAUUUCCACAUUAUUUAUUACAAAAUUUGGUUUAGGUUUAGGGUUUAGUGAGUGUUUUGUUCCAAGUACAAUGCUUUUAGUUUUAGAAAUAUUUAGGGUUAACUAAUUCCUUGCCACCCACUCUGAAACUAACUGCAGCUCUUUGUUGAGUGUUGCAGUCAUUUCAGUCGCUGUAGUAGCUGACGUGUAUAGUGUUGAGUCAUCCGCAUACAUAGACACUCUGGCUUUGCUCAAAGUCAGUGGCAUGUGGUUAGUAAAAAUGGAAAAAAGCAAGGGGCCUAAACAGCUGCCCUGGGGAAUUCCUGAUUCUAACUGGAUUAUAUUUGAGAGGCUUCCAUUAAAGAACACCCUCUGUGUUCUGUUACACAAGUAACUCUUUAUCCACAAUAUAACAGGGGGUGUAAAGCCAUAACACAUACGUUUUUUCCAGCAGCAGACUAUGAUCAAUAAUGUCAAAAGCUGCACUGAAGUCUAACAAGACAGCCCCCACAAUCAUUUUGUCAUCAAUUUCUCUCAGCCAAUAGGGUCUACCUCCUCCUCUCUCCUCUCCUCCAAGAGUAGUACGGUCUACCUCCUCUGCUCUCCACCAGGUGUAGUAGGGCCUUUUCAUUUUACUCCAGGUCAGUUCAGGAGACAAAUUGAAAUAUGAUCAAUAUAUGGAUUGGUUUAAUAUUUCAAACGUAUAAAUAUGAUGUAACAUUACAAUCUCACUCAUAUCUCCCCCAAUGUCUUCUGUUGUCCUCCCAAACCCCAGAACACACACACACACACACACACACACACACACACACACACACACACACACACACACACACACACACACACACACACACACACACACACACACACACACACGUGAUUCAGCUCCCCUCUGACUCUACCCCCCCAAAACCACCUGACCAGGCCUGACCCACUAACUGAGUAGGCUGGUUGCCGGGCGGGACGGCGGUAAGCCCUGUCACCUGACUGUGGUCUGGGAAGGAGCAGUUAGUUCUUCUAAUCGCCUAGGGUGCACUACUUUAGACCAGAGCCCAAUGGUACCCUAUUCCCUAUAUAGGGCACUACUUUAGACCAGGGCCCAUAGUAGUGCACUAUAUAGGGUGCCAUUUCAGACGCAGCCCUCGUGUCCACGGUUGUGUCUGCCCAGUAAGUGUCUCACAGGUGAUUGACUGGAUGCAUUAGUGGGUUGCCAAGGUUAACAUGCCAAAGGAAACAAACACACUCACUCACUCAUCCACGUUUAAGAGAGCAAACCCUUAAAUUUGACCCGUGUGUGGAUCGGCGUCGUUCACCAUCAGGCCUGGGUUCAAAUAAUUCCAAAUACUUUUAUCUGAGCUUGAUUGAGCUUGCCUGGCUUAAAGGGAUACCUCAGAUUUGAUCUACUUCCCCAGAGUCAGAUGAACUCGUGGUUACCAUUUGUCACUGCAUGGAAUAUGAAGGAAGUUAAAGGUAGUUUCGCAAGCCAAUGCUAACUGACUGGAAGUAUCUCUUUAAUGGGACCAAUAGAAUAGUCUCAAUUGCUGAUCGGGCAAGCUAGAGUGAACGGUCAAGUAUUUGAACAAUUUCAAACAGUAUUUGAACCCAGGUCUGUCCACCAAGUCUGUCAGCUUUCCCCUACUUCUGUUUAGUUCACAUCAUGAUCUCCGGGCAAGGACAGGGGAAGUGAGGCCUAGGUAUUUGACCUUGACUUGCGUCCCAAAUGACUCCCUAUUCUGUAUGUAGUGCACUAAUUUUGACCACUCCCCAUAGGGCUCUGGUACAAUGUAGUGCACUAUAUAGAGAGUAGGGUGUCAUUUGGGACUCGUGUUGUAUUAUGAAGUUGAAUGUGUGUUGCUAUGCUAACGUCAUCUCUGUCAGGUGACUGUUGCCACAGCUUACCAAAACAUCACCUCUUGUUCUACUUCCCCCACACGUACUGUAACGUAAACACACAAUCCACCUGGACUCUCCACCCGGUCAGAAUGUCUUCAGAUCAGACACCAGGGCUGUCUUCAAGUGGCAUCCUAUUCCCUAUAUAGUGGCAUAGGACUCUGGUUAAAAGUAGUGCGCUAUAUAGGGAAUAGGGUUCCAUAGGGCUCUGGUCUAAAGUAGUGUACUAUAUAGGGUUCCAUAGGGGUCUGGUCUAAAGUAGUGCACUAUAUAGGGAAUAGGGUUCCAUAGGGCUCUGGUCUAAUGUAGUACACUAUGUAGGGAAUAGGGUGCCAUUUGGGAGGCAGUCCUAUAGUACCACACAGUGGACUCAUUUGAGGGAAAGUAGACUAGAGGGACUAGCUGUCCCCUGAGGGGAGAGGGACUAGCUGUCCCCUGAGGGGAGAGAGACUAGCUGUCCCCUGAGGGGAGAGGGACUAGCUGUCCCCUGAGGGGAGAGGGACUAGCUGUCCCCUGAGGGGAGAGGGACUAGCUGUCCCCUGAGGGGAGAGAGACUAGCUGUCCCCUGAGGGAAGAGGGACUAGCUGUCCCCUGAGGGGAGAGAGACUAGCUGUCCCCUGAGGGGAGAGAGACUAGCUGUCCCCUGAGGGGAGAGAGACUAGCUGUCCCCUGAGGGGAGAGAGACUAGCUGUCCCCUGAGGGGAGAGGGACUAGCUGUCCCCUGAGGGGAGAGGGACUAGCUGUCCCCUGAGGGGAGAGGGACUAGCUGUCCCCUGAGGGGAGAGGGACUAGCUGUCCCCUGAGGGGAGAGGGACUAGCUGUCCCCUGAGGGGAGAGGGACUAGCUGUCCCCUGAGGGGAGAGAGACUAGCUGUCCCCUGAGGGGAGAGAGACUAGCUGUCCCCUGAGGGGAGAGGGACUAGCUGUCCCCUGAGGGGAGAGGGACUAGCUGUCCCCUGAGGGGAGAGGGACUAGCUGUCCCCUGAGGGGAGAGGGACAGAUCCUAUCACAACACUGUCAAGGAAACAGGUCUCUUCUUAGUAGGGGAGGGAAGUUAGAGAAACAGGUCUCUUCUUAGUAGGGGAGGGAAGUUAGAGAAACAGGUAUCUUCUUAGUAGGGGAGGGAAGUUAGAGAAACAGGUAUCUUCUUAGUAGGGGAGGGAGGUUAGAGAAACAGGUCUCUUCUUAGUAGGGGAGGGAAGUUAGAGAAACAGGUCUCUUCUAGUAGGUGAGGGAGGUUAGGGGCCUACAACUGUUUUAUAUUAAAGCUUUUGUUGCUGUGAGUACUGUACCUUUAGCGAAUCAACACGGCUGUGUGUACCUUUAGCGAAUCAACACGGCUGUGUUUGUAGUGCUCUACCAUUUGCUGAGAACUACCCAGGAGUCACCUGUGUGUUGUAGUAUUAGCUAAACCUCAAGGGUUGUUACUUUCUGUUUCUGCCCGUUCACAUUUGACAUAUUCAGCUCAUAUAUUGCAAACAAGAUGAUCUUAUCACAUUGCAUUUCUUUCUCGCUUAGCUUGAACAGAGUUCAAAUCCCUUAGCCUCUCGUCUUUCCCCGUCUUCACAGAGUUCAAAUCCCUUAGCCUCUCGUCUUUCCCCGUCUUCACAGAGUUCAAAUCCCUUAGCCUCUCGUCUUUCCCCAUCUUCACAGAGUUCAAAUCCCUUAGCCUCUCGUCUUUCCCCGUCUUCACAGAGUUCCAGUCACUUAACUUCUUCUCCAUGUCUCUCCAGGUGCUCCAGUCGUGACAUCCUUUCCUCAUUUCUACCUGGGAGAUGAGAAGUACUCUAAUGCCAUUGUGGGACUGGAUCCUGUCAGAGAGCAUCACCAGACCUACCUGGACCUGAACCCGGUACACAACUCUGUAGUGUUCACUUCUCCGGCGGUCCAAUGGAUCAUCCACUUUAAAAUCCCAGAAGUGUUUGUUACGAACCCCUUUUGCCCUGCAGUCUAGGGGGGGGUGGAAACGAGACCCGUAACAUAUCUCAUGCAAAUCACACAAGUGAAAAAGUAACAGUGAGAACGAAAAACCACAGACAACUUAAAUCUACCGUCAAAAACGUAUUUCAAAACACACGGUAAAUGGGGUGUGGGAAAAAAGGGGCUGAGCUGGACCCAAGGAAAGAAAGAAAUAUAAAAAAAAACCUAAGCUAGUCUAGCCUGCUUUAAGAACAGCUAGCUAACUAACCAAUAAAUACAGUGGGUGGUCCACCCAGUUCUAAUUAGGGGAUUUAGACACUGUUUUCCUACGGGUAAUGUAGGCCCAUGGACGACUUGGCUGGUUGUCCCCUUUUCCCACCAACAAACAAACAGUCAUACACCGUAACAAUACAAUACUCACAGGAUAACGGACAAAGUGACAUGUAGGCGCAAAAAAAACAAAAAGACAGAUCUCUAAAGACAACUGAUUGGGUUUCUUUUAAACCAAGGGAUGUGAUUGGGUAAGGGAAAAGGAGCAGGUGUGUCUUCUGAUUGGCGACUGAUUAGGGAAUGAUGAUUGCCACCUGUGAGUAGGGGAGAAGGAGAGAAUAGAAAUACACACAGGAUACCUGUAUCCGUAACAGUGUUACAUAGAUCAUCCACUUUAAUAUUCCAAUAGUGUUACAUUUGUGUAAUUGGGAAUUACACCAACUGCGAAGGAUGAAUUAAUGUUCUCACAUUACCAGGUUAUAAUUAUUGAUGUUUAAUCGAGACAUUACCAGGUUAUAAUUAUUGAUGUUUAAUCUAGACAUUACCAGAUUAUAAUUAUUGAUGUUUAAUCUAGACAUUAAUCAAGUAUCCAGUACAUUGAGCGUUACACCUGCAGUUCACAUGGCUCAUCAAAACUGUGUCUGUGUUAUUCUACACUUCCAGACCACUGGUGUUCCUAUCCGUGCCAGUAAGAGAGCUCAGAUCAACAUCCUCAUAAACAGAAUCUCUGGCUUCCCGUGAGUACAUAUAGUCUCUGUUUCUGAACCAUUUCCAUCUCACAACCACCACACAAGUUCAGCUAGCUAAAGACGGUAGUCUCUUGUUUCUGAAUGAUUUCCUUCUUUUGUUUAAUUAUUUCCGUUUCACAACCACCACCCAAGUUCAACUAGCAAUAAUAAAGCUCAUAAUCUUUAUGAUAUCUAUAUUAUUUCCUUCCAUUGUUUAAUAAUUUUCUUACAAUCGAUUUUCCUUCACAGGAAAACCAAAUCCCUGAACGAGACUAUCUUCCCUGUCAUGUUUAUCAACGAGGUGACAUAAUCACAUUUCAUGGACUCCACAAAAAUAUACAACUUUUGUAGAAUAUGACGUUUCAAUUCAGAAAAUGUUCAUUUUAAUCCGAGCAUUAAUCGCAUUAAGUGUUUUCUUCAGACGGUAGUGAUCGACGACGUGUCGGCGGCGAAGCUCCACAAGCUGUUGCUAAUGGUGUCGCUGGUGUCCAACUUCCCUCUCGUCCUGGUUGGUCUGGGGGCCAUCCUGUUGCUGGUGUUCAUCGGCCUCAUCGUCUGCGAAUGCAAACAGAAGGUAUGACACACCCAUGUUUCUUCCCUUUUUUACUUAACCAGGCAAGUCAGUUAAGAACAAAUUGUUAUUUACAAUGACGGCCUAGUAACAGUGGGUUAACUGCCUUGUUCAGGGGCAGAACGACAGAUUUUUACCUUGUCAGCUCGGGGAUUCGAUCUAGCAACCUUUCGGUUGCUGGUCCGACGCUCUAACCACUAGGCUACCUGCCGCCUCCUUUCUUAGUUCCCCUUGCUUUUGUAUAUAUUUUUUUUUUAUAUAGAACAGUGAAAGACUGGUGGGAAAGUUCAGCGGAGAGGGGAGCGGGUGUGUUAGAAUAACAGUGGGACUGAAUCAAACCCACGCUCACACAGGCAGAUAUAUUCUGUUGGCAGCAGAUUAGACCACCCCAGGAUGCUGACCUGUGUUUCUCUGGGAAGAUAGAGUGUUGAGGGCCUGUGUCAGAGAGGAGCAGGACAACAGUGUUCUUCUCUAAUCAAUAAACUAUAGUUAGAGCCCAGAGCUGUUCCUGGUCAAGUCACGUAGUCAAGAAUAAGUCCUGGCCCUCAACUAUAAAGUACUUUAAAAAGGCAGCAAGAAAUGCCACAAAGGGGAAAGUGAAAGUCAUGUUGUAGACAGAAUAGGUACGCCAACUAAAUUUAUAGAGAUCCUAUUAAAAGACUAGAGGCUAGGUCAUGAACCCUAAAAGAUGGCUGUUACUAGGUAACCCGAUGUCCAUUCCAGUGUUCCUAUAUCUUUUUCUAUGAGGAGACACUGAAGAAUAGAGAAUACAGUAGAACUUAAGGCUGUGGUUUGGUUCAUCACAAGACACUUCUUCUCUCAACAUGAUGCAGCUACUUUGUUCUUUACUGUAAUAUUUCUAACCAGUUGUUAACAUCUUUCUUUCACAGCACGUUUUUGUAAAGGUCUUAAUGCAUUCUGCAUCAUAACAUUAAACUCAAUCUAAUAUUUGAAAAGAAAAUAGGUCUCAAAUUGACUUCAAGGUACUAACAUGUUUGUGUAACUUAACUUCUCUGGGCUAGGUGGGACGGGACCGUCAGACACUAUUCAACAGCCAGUGAAAUAGCACGGUGCGAAAUACAAAACAGCAAAAAUAUCAUAAUUUCAUUUUCUCAAACAAUCAACUAUUUUACACCAUUUUAAAGAUAAGACUCUCGUUAAUCUAACCACAUUGUCCGAUUUCAAAAAGGCUUUACAGCGAAAGCAUAGAAUUAGAUUAUGUUAGGACAUAAACUUCACAAGAAAAUCCACAUAGCCAUUUUCCAAGCAAGGACAUGCAUCAUAAAAACCAAAAGUACAGCUAAAAUAUUCACUAACCUUUGAUGAUCUUCAUCAGAUGGCACUCAUAGGACUUCAUGUUAUACAAUUGCUCGAUAAAGGUCAUAUUUAUAUCCAAAAACAGCAUUUUACAUUGGCGCGUGAUGUUCAGAAAAUGUAUUCCCACCAAAACUUCCGGUGAAUGUGCACAUCAAUUUACAAAAAUACUCAUCAUAAACGAAAGAAUUAUAGAUACACUACCCCUUGACGCAACCGCUUUGUCAGAUUUCAAAAUAACUUUACGGAGAAAGCACAUUGUUCACUAUUCUGAGUACAUAGCUCAGCCAUCGAAGCAAGCUAUACAGCUACCCGCCAAGUUCUGGCAUCAACAAAACUCAGAAUUAGUAUUAUAAAUAUUCUCUUACCUUUGCUGAUCUUCGUCAGAAUGCACUCCGAGGACUCCUACUUCCACAAGAAAUGUUUGUUUUGUUCGAAAUACUCCAUAUUUAUGUCCAAAUACCUCCGUUUUGUUCGUGUGUUCAGAUCACUAUCCAAAGGCAUAAUGCGCGAGCGCAGUACCAGAGACGAAAAGUCAAAAUGUUCCAUUACCGGUCGUAGAAACAUGUAAAACGUUGUUUACAAUCAAUCCUUAGGGUAUUUUUAACAUAAAACGUCGAUAAUAUUCCAACUGGACAAUAGCGUAUUCAUUACAGAAGAAAAAGAAGGAGGGGCGAGCUCGCGGGAUCGCAUAUCACCAAGUCCUUUGUCCUCAGACAGUCCACUCAUUGACUGAGCUACUAUUCUCUGCCCAGUAACAAGAGAAAGAUGGAAAAACUUUCUGAAGGCUGUUGACAGCCAAUGGAAGCCUUAGGAAGUGCAACGUGGUCACGGAAAAGAAAAAAAAACGAGUUAAGUUACUGCCUUUUUUCCUCCUCAAAUUAUGCUGUGAAUUUUACAAUUAUUUAUUUUCCCUUUGGAUAUUUUUUAUACCAAAGCAGUUGUUUUUAAAGCAUAUUAGGUGUCUGUAACCAAUAAUGUAGCUGAUUUUCAUCAUGUGAUAAUUUAGGGGUUUUCCACUUUUUUUUUAAACACCACUCCUGAAUAAGAAACAAUGUCACGUUGCACUUCCUAAGGCUUCCAUUGGCUGUCAACAGCCUUCAGAAAGUUUUUCCAUCUUUCUCCUACAGACACUGUAGUUUCGAUAGGGAUUCAAAAGAAGAACUACAAUUCUCAGAUUUCCACACUUCCUGGUUGGAUUUUUCUCAGGUUUUUGCCUGCCAUAUGAGUUCUGUUAUACUCACAGACAUCAUUCAAACAGUUUUAGAAACUUCAGAGUGUUUUCUAUACUAAUAAUAUGCAAAUAUUUGACUCUGGGCCCGAGUAUUGGGCAGUUUACUCUGGGCACACUUUUCAUCCGAAAUCGAAAAUACAGCCCCCUAUACCCUAAAAAGUUAACUAUUUUCUUAACCUCUCUAGGAUAGGGGGCAGUAUUUUCACAUCUGGAUAAAAAACGUACCCGAUUUAAUCUGGUUAUUACUACUGCCCAGAAACUAGAAUAUGCAUAUAAUUGUUUGAUUUGGAUAGAAAACACCCUAAAGUUUCUAAAACUGUUUGAAUGGUGUCUGUGAAUAUAACAGAACUCAUAUGGCAGGCAAAAACCUGAGAAGAUUCUGUACAGGAAGUCCCCUCUCUGACCAUUUCUUGGCCUUCUACACUCUCUUUAUUGAAAACUGAGGAUCUCUGCUGUAACCUGACACUUCCUAAGGCUCCCAUGGGCUCUCAGAAGGCGGCAGAACGUUGAAUGAUGACUUUGCAGCCCAUGGCUGAAAAACAGUAGCGCAUUUGGUAAGUGGUCGAUCUGAGAACAAUGAGACGGGGGCGCGCGUGCACGUGAAGAGUCCAUUUUAGAUUUUGAGUCUUUGAACGGAAAGGACGUUUCCCGGUCAGAAUAUUAUCGCUUUUUUACGAGAAAAAUCGCAUAAAAAUUGAUUUUAAACAGCGUUUGACAUGCUUCGAAGUACGGUAAUGGAAUAUUUAGAAAUGUUUUGUCACGAUACGCGUCCGCGCGUCACCGUUCGGAUAGUGUCUUGAACGCAAGAAGAAAACAGAGGAUAUUUGAACAUAACUAUGGAUUAUUUUGAACCAAAACAACAUUUGUGGAUGAAGUAGAAGUCCUGGGAGUGCAUUCUGACGAAGAACAGCAAAGGUAAUCCAAUUUUUCUUAUAGUAAAUCUGAGUUUGUUGAGUGCCAAACUUGGUGGGUGUCAAAAUAGCUAGCCCGUGAUGGCGAGCUAUCUACUCAGAAUAUUGCAAAAUGUGCUUUUGCCGAAAAGCUAUUUUAAAAUCGGACACCGCGAUUGCAUAAAGGAGUUCUGUAUCUAUAAUUCUUUAAAUAAUUGUUAUGUUUUUUUGUGAACGUUUAUCGUGAGUAAUUUAGUAAAUUCACAGGAAGUUUGCGGUGGGUAUGCUAGUUCUGAACGUCACAUGCUAAUGUAAAAAGCUGUUUUUUGAUAUAAAUAUGAACUUGAUUGAACAAAACAUGCAUGUAUUGUAUAACAUAAUGUCCUAGGAGUGUCAUCUGAUGAAGAUCAUCAAAGGUUAGUGCUGCAUUUAGCUGUGGUUUUGGUUUUUGUGACAUUAUAUGCUAGCUUGAAAAAUGGGUGUCUGAUUAUUUCUGGUUGGGUACUCUGCUGACAUAAUCUAAUGUUUUUCUUUCGUUGUAAAGCCUUUUUGAAAUCGGACAGUGUGGUUAGAUUAACGAGAGUCUUGUCUUUAAAAUGGUGUAAAAUAGUCAUAUGUUUGAGAAAUUGAAGUAAUAGCAUUUCUAAGGUAUUUGAAUAUCGCGCCACGGGAUUCCACUGGCUGUUGAGUAGGUGGGACGAUUUCGUCCCACAUACCCUAGAGAGGUUUUAACUAUGAUAACACCAUGAUUUAGUGACUGUAUUAACCAGUGCAUUUUAACCCAUUCUAACAGUACGGUAUGCACGGCUUCCUUUAUGUUUCUGUUCAGAAUUAAGUUUAACGUAUUCUUUAAAACCUCUACGGGAUCGGUGUACCCACUGCAGGACGGUUGAGCUAACGUAGGCUAAUGUGAUUAGCAUUAGUAAGUAACAACAACAAAAAAUCCCAGGACAUAGACAUAUCUGAUAUGGGCAGAAAGCUUAAAUUCUUGUUAAUCUAACUGCACUGUCCAAUUUACAGUAGCUAUUACAGUGAAAUAAUACCAUGCUAUUGUUUGAGGAGAGUGCACAAUUAUGAACUUAAAAAUCUAUUAAUAAACCAAUUAGGCACAUUUGGGCAGUCUUGAUAUUACAUUUUGAACAGAUAUGCAAUGGUUCAUUGGAUCAGUCUAAAACGUCAGACAUACACUGCUGCCAUCUAGUGUCCAAAAUCUAAAUUGCUCCUGGGCUGGAAUAAUAUAUUAUGGCCUUUCUCUUGCAUUUCAAAGAUGAUGGUACAAAGAAAAAAAAGUAUGCAUAUUUUUCUUAGUAUUAUCUUUUACCAGAUCGAAUGUGUUAUAUUCUCUUACAUUAAUUUCCACAAACUUCAAAGUGUUUCAUUUAAAAUGGUAUCAAGAAUAUGCAUAUCCUUGUUUCAGGUCCUGAGCUACAGGAAGUUCGAUUUUAGGCAAAAAUCUUUAAAAAUGGUCCGAUCCUGUUGGGGCUCGGGGGCAGUAUUGAGAAAUUUUAAAAAAAUAUGUGCCCAUUUUUAACUGCCUCCUACACCAACUCAGAAGCUAGGAUAUGCAUAUUAUUAACACAUUCGGAUAGAAAACACUCUGAAUUUUCUAAAACAGUUUGAAUGGUGUCUGUAAGUAUAACAAAACUCAUAUUGCAGGCAAAAACCUGUGAAAAAUAGAUCAAAAAAAAUGUGAAUUUUGUGACUGUACUAUUUAGUGUCAUUGUUUUAUAGAUACCAUAGUGAGAAAGGAUUCAUUUCGCAACACCUACGGCUUCCACUAGAUGUCAACGAUCUUUAUAAAGUUGUUUGAAGCGUCUAUGAUAAACAGAGAGCAAAUUAGAAUGCAAGGAAGUUGACAUGUCAUCACUUCAUUUUUUUGCGCCUGCGCAUAAAUCUGAGAAGCGUGAGUUUGUCAUCAUUGUUUAUCUAGACAUAGGAUAGGUUGUGUGAAAAUAUUACUGAUGUUUAAUGUUAAAAAUGGACCAAAAGAUUAAUGCUAAGCAACGUUUGACAUGUUUGAACGAACGUAAAUAGAUUAUUUACUAGUUUUUUUAGCUUUUCGGCGUGAUUUUACACCCCCCCCACCACGUUUUGUGGGAGCAUAAUGAACGCUAACUACUUGUUGUUAUUUGGACAUAAAUUAUGAACUUUGUCAAAAGAAACCACAUUUGUUCCGGACCUGGGAAAUCCUGGCAGUGCCUUCUGAUGGAGAUAAUCAAAGAAGUCAACAAAGGAAGACACAUCUUAUUCCCCUGUGAGCAACAAGGAGGCUGACGAAAAAAAUGGCUGCAGCUACGUUGCCUUGACUCCCGUUAUUGACAAGUCUUGAGGAGGGAAUGGGAAGGCUUUAUGGAGAGACAGAUGUAGGAUCUUAAUAUGAACCAGUUUGCUACAGCAGUAAAAUAAUCCUGCUUCAAUAGGAAAUGUGAAUUAUGUGGAUUAUAAUUAAUGGACAUUUUUGUAGGGUUUUUAAAAGUCAAAAAACACAGCAAGUUUGCAAUUCUCAGAAACAAAACAGUGAUAAAAUUACGAUCCUACAUCUGUAUAUCAUAUAUAUCAGUGUGAGUUGCUGUUCAGGGCUGGAUCGUUGUAAAUCAUUGUGGCACUAGUUAGACUACUUUGAUAUGUCUCCGUUGUUUUGUUUUGUUACUUGGUUUAUUUGGAUCUGGUUCAACCCACAAAGUGAGGCUAAUCUUCCCAAAGUCCCUGUUAACUCACAAGGUGGGGCUAAUCUUCCCAAAGUCCCUGUUAACUCACAAGGUGGGGCUAAUCUUCCCAAAGUCCUUGUUAACCCACAAGGUGGGGCUAAUCUUCCCAAAGUCCUUGUUAACCCACAAGGUGAGGCUAAUCUUCCCAAAGUCCCUGUUAACUCACAAGGUGGGGCUAAUCUUCCCGAAGUCCCUGUUAACUCACAAGGUGGGGCUAAUCUUCCCAAAGUCCUUGUUAACCCACAAGGUGGGGCUAAUCUUCCCAAAGUCCCUGUUAACCCACAAGGUGGGGCUAAUCUUCCCGAAGUCCCUGUUAACUCACAAGGUGGGGCUAAUCUUCCCGAAGUCCCUGUUAACCCACAAGGUGGGGCUAAUCUUCCCAAAGUCCUUGUUAACCCACAAGGUGAGGCUAAUCUUCCCAAAGUCCUUGUUAACCCACAAGGUGGGGCUAAUCUUCCCGAAGUCCUUGUUAACCCACAAGGUGGGGCUAAUCUUCCCAAAGUCCCUGUUAACCCACAAGGUGGGGCUAAUCUUCCCGAAGUCCCUGUUAACUCACAAGGUGGGGCUAAUCUUCCCGAAGUCCCUGUUAACCCACAAGGUGGGGCUAAUCUUCCCAAAGUCCUUGUUAACCCACAAGGUGAGGCUAAUCUUCCCAAAGUGUUGACAUACAGUACAUGGCCAAUUUGACCAGCUGUUUCAAACAUUCUAUACAAUAUAAACUGUUUGAUACCUGUUAUUCAACAUUUUGUAAAAAAAAAAAAAAGGCUUUAUAAAUAUAUUUGAUUGAUUGACAGCUCUAAUGCAGUUCCACCCUCAACACCGUCAAAACAACUGCUAUUAGGAUGUUGGCUAAAGUGAACCCUUAAUCUGUAUCUGGGAAACCAGCCCUAGGUGUGUGCCCUAAAGAUGUGUCCUAAAGAUGUGUCCUAAAGAUGUGCCCUAAAGAUGUGUCCUAAAGAUGUGUCCUAAAGAUGUAUCUACAUUAUUCAGGUAUCAUUCCAUUCUCAGGGGCACUAUGCUAGAAACUAUGCACCUUGUGCAUCAUGAGAUGGCUUCAAAAGUGAUUAUUAUUAUGAAACCGUAAAGUGUCAAAGAAGGUCAAGGAAGUGGUGAGAUGCUCUACUGAACAACGAAGGCUAAAUAUUUCAUGUAAUGAGUGUCUUCUUAUUAAUGAAUUUGGAUUCAUAUUAAAACGAACAACAACAAAACAUAUUUGUAACGUUAGCUAUAAUUGUUACAUUUCUACGUAUUUUAUUUGUUCAUGCACUGUUUAAAUUUAUUUUCCAACUUGGUUGGUUGAAUGUUCAAAUUAGUGAACAAAAAUGCCGUCUGACUAUGUUUAUGUUAUUGAACAUAUCCACAAUACCAUCCAUACCUAAUUCAUGGUUCACCUUCACUUUCAACUUGCAUGUGGUGAUAUUUUGCAAGUGAGCAUUUUUAAGUGUUACGUAUCUGAUAUUCCAAAUGUGACAUCUUGCCUACAUUCCUUAGGUGAGACACCUGUACCCCAGUUGGUAUAUUCAUUAGGUGAGACGCCUGUACCCAGUUGGUAUAUUCAUUAGGUGAGUGUUGAUCUGUAUCGGUCAGAUCUAUUAAAAACAAUACCACAUCAUUGGCUUAUUGCUGCCAUUGUGUGAACGAGCCAACAAACCUAUGGCACUCUGUAUACUGCGUAAAACAUGGACAGGUUUUGAUUGACUGAAUUGUUUCUGAGGCUUUUUGACACGUCAGACAAUUCUCCUGUGCCCUAUAGUGCGGGUGGCCUUCUUGUCUGAAACAAAAGAAUGAAGGCAAUGAAAAUGUGUAAUUUGAAGAUCAGAUCCCUUUAGAAUGUAUUUACAGGAUAGUGUUUUUACUAAUAGAAUAGAGUGUGUACUAAUGUGCAUUUCUGUUAUACAGGGAAGUCCAUAUGUUGUUGUGUUUUCUUUGGUUGAUAUUUUUUUUUGACAGAAAAAUGGACUGAAACUUUUAACUCACGUAUCAGGUUCUGAAUGAUCUAAAUGUAUUAUCAUCACUACAUUAUCUCUACAUUAUCUCUGCAUUUACCAUAGCUGCUGAUGAAACCAUAACUUCAGGUUUUGAUGCAAGGUUGUCAUCCUAAUGGCAAACAUUUUGGAAUCAAAGAUAAACAUGUAUAUCAUACUAAACUACUGGAAUUGUAGACAUUUUGCAGUGAUGUUGAAAGCCAAAUUGUGUAUUGCUUUCUAUUGUGAGCCGUUAAUAGGAGCUCAUUAGCAGACUGUCUAUCUAGAAAAUGUAUUGAGAGAAACGGGCUCCUUGGAUAUCUACAUAUGUUUAUUUUCAAUGGCAUCUCCUAUUGACAUUAUAUACAUUUGUAUUAUUAUGCCUAUAAUAGCCUUUGUGCAACUGCUUAACUGCUAUAGUCCUAUAGUGUAUUAAUGCUUUGUUAAUUGUUGAAAUUGAAAUGGACUUGCUUGAAUGAUUGCUCUUAUUGUAUUGUAAUGACUGUCUGAACGUAGCCUGACAAUGAGUGACGAGGAGUUGGCAUGACAGCGCCAACAAACAUGGCAAUCAGGCUAGUCUGACACCUCAAUGUUGAAAUCAACGCAUCAGAUCACUGAGUUUAACUAUUGAUGCAUUACUUUGUAACCCAGCUGUCUUCUCUUUUCUUUAAGAUAUGCCAAACAAAAGUAGCAGAACUUUUGCUUUCCUAGAUUACUUGUUGUGAAUUUAUUAGAUACUGUUUUACUUGUGACUCACUUGUUUAUGAGAUGCCAUGCUCUUACGUACUCAGUAUUAGUUACUCUGGUUGAAAAAUAGAAAAGCAGCAAUAGAAAUUUAUAGUUUGAAAAAUGAGUAAAUGUUAGCGUUUUCUUCUCUUAUUAUAAGUCUAAUCAGUCAUAUCAUUUCAUAUUUUGAUGUUAAUUUGUCUUUGGACUCUGUAUUUACUCUGUAGCAACCAUGUGCCUUGGUCUGUAAUGGAAUUACAGAACAUUGAAUGAAGAGGGCCUCGUUCACAGGUGGUUGGUGGCACCUUAAUUGGGGAGGACGGACUCGUGGUAAUGACUGGAGCGGGAUCAGUGGAAUGGUAUCAAAUACAUCAAACACAUGGUUUCCAGGUGUCUGAUGCCAUUCCAUUUGCUCCGUCCUGGCCAUUAUUAUGAGCCAUCCUCCCCUCAGCAGCCUCCGCUGGUUUAAUUUCACCCUCAGACUCUAUGGUGCAUUUUGUAAAACAUUAGAAACAGGACAAAAUUGGGAUACAACAACUAUCAGGAGAAUUGUAUAGGUAAAUUAUACACCAUAAAAUCAAAACCAUUCUACAUGUACAACCAUAGACAUCAGUGUACACACACAGCACUACUUGUUUUGUGCUUGAACGCCAUAGAUCACAUGUAAUUAAACUACUUUCCUCAGUCCCAAAGUCCUGUUUUCUGUAAUACAGCUAAAUGCUUUUCAUUGCAGCAGUCAAACAUAAUCCUUACAUUUAUCAUAGUUAUCAUUAUUUUUGGAAUGUAGACUGCAAAAAAGUUACUAAAAUAUUUUUGGGUAAAAAUAAAAUGUUAAACUUAUUUACAAUGAAAUAAAAGCAACCAUUUUGAUUGAUUUGUCAUUCUUCGGGUUUUCUAUUGUUAUCAGUCAGCAUGCUUUAAAAUGGCAAAUAAAUUAUCUUCAGGUAUAGCCUGCACAUUUAUAUUCUGGCAACACUGAGGGAGAAGAACAACUUGAAGAGUGUCAAAACUGUUGCAAUUUGCAAUAUUUUGCUUAAAGAGUAGAUGCUGCUGAAAAGCAACUAAUCCCUUUGAUGUGGCAUCGAUAUGAGUCAGAUACAUGUAUUCUAG
rnacentral:lncRNA from 1 species